rnacentral:rRNA from 1 species
UACAGAGGGGGCAAGCGUUGUUCGGAAUUACUGGGAGUAAAGGGCGCGUAGGCGGCCUUCUAAGUCGAACGUGAAAUCCCCGGGCUCAACCCGGGAACUGCGUCCGAUACUGGAAGGCUUGAAUCCGGGAGAGGGAUGCGGAAUUCCAGGUGUAGCGGUGAAAUGCGUAGAUAUCUGGAGGAACACCGGUGGCGAAGGCGGCAUCCUGGACCGGCAUUGACGCUGAGGCGCGAAAGCCAGGGGAGCAAACGGG